rnacentral:lncRNA from 1 species
GUAGAGUGUCUGCUGGGAAUGUUUGGAGACAACUGCCAUCAACUUUGUGACUGUGAAGGAAAAAGUUACUGCCACCCAGUGACUGGGAAAUGCCUCUGCCCACCAGGGAGAACUGGAGCUCGAUGUGAAGCUGGUAUGAGCCAAAGCACCUCAGAACUCCCCUCGGAUUCAUGUUCACACAGAGAUCUUUAUGCUAGAAAUAACAUUCUAUUAAAGAACACUGUUGCUUUACACCUUGCCCUUAGCAAGAUGAAUCAAGGUUUGUAUUCUUACAUCACAGGCACCUACACUGGCAAUUUGGUUGACAGAGGGCAUAAGGUAAGUACCUACAUAGUCAACCUGAUAACAAAGGUGAUUCACAGAAUUCAACAGAAUAAAGUAAUUAUCAUACACAGUCCCAGAAAUAUUUUUGAGACUGAAGCUCCCAGAUAGUCUCUGCAAAUUGAAAUCUAUACUUUAUUUUCCUUUCCAAUCACAGGAAGAAUGACCCAGAAUGAAAAACUCUAAUUCUUCAGGAACUAUCCUAAGAAGAGGACAGAGUAGACUGAGAUGAUUGCUGACUAAUCAUUUAUUAUUAGACUUGAUGAAUGCUCGCCAGAUCAAAAGGCUUUAAAUAAUUCACAAUAGUCCUGAAAGACAGAGCCUGCCUCAUAUAUGACCCAAAACAGUGUGUUUAAUGUCAGGAUUUACUUUCAUUCUCUUCAAAAAGAGAAAGGCUAAGACUAUGUAUUUCUAAGAUCAUUUCCUGCACUAAUAAUCUAUGAUCCUGUAACGUGGGGUUAUAAUAAUGGUAAGAAAGCCACAGUAACCUUCUAGCUCAUUAAAAAAAAAAUGCUAAUCAGCAGCGCUUUCACCUCUCUGCAUCCCACUUGCUUCUGAGCAAUAGCAAUACAGCUGCUUUCUUUGAAUGCCAGGGAUUAUCCUAAAUAUUUUGCCUCAGUUCAGUUUGUUCUCACCACAACCCUACAAGGUUGUCACUAGUCAGUCAUAUUCCUAUUUGUCAGAAGAAAAAGCUGGAGCACAGAAAGUUAGCAAGCGGCAGAACCAAGAUUUAAACCCAGACGGUCUGGUUCCAGACUUUGUGCAAGGCUAUCCGUAGACAAUACUGUAUGUGAAUGUGUGCAUAUACUCCAGAAUAAGAAACCACCAAUGGCUCUCAAGAAUGCUACAUUCCUUAUUAUCUCUUCUUCCGUUUUUCAUAGACUUGUCUAAUAUGAUCAGGAGGUUAUGAAUACUGAUUUGGAAUCCUUUGGCUUUUCCAACCUCUCUCUCUCUUUCUUUUCUCCCUCCCUCCCUUUCUUCCUCUUCUUUCUUUUCUUUUCUUUUUUUUCAAAACUGUGUCAUUUAAAUUUCUGAUCCAUGUGUACUAUAAGCUUUUUGAGAGUCCAGUCCAAAUUAUUUUUAAAUUUUUCUUUUACCAGAAAAGAAGCUUAGAGCACAGUUUAACACUUGAUAAGCUUCAGCAAAUGUUUGUGGAAAGGAUUCUUCUCUUCUCAGCAUUCUUCAGGAGUGAGAGUGGACAGAGGACUUGAACCUUGUCACAACUAAAUCUAUCAGAACAAAUAUCUGCAGUACAUACGUCAUUCAUUGAAUGGGCACUAAAAGCAGAAUGCUUAAAGCAUUUGUGGUCCCACCUGAACACUGAAGACAACCACAGAUGUUUAUUGAGUGCACAUUAUGUACCAUGCAUUUUAGUUUAUUUUCUGUGCCCUUCCUGUCAUCACCACUCUCGUGUUACAGAUGAGGAAGCUGAAAUAAAAAAAAAAUUUAAAAAAAAAAACAGCUAAGUACCUUGCCCACUGUUACACAGCUAGGAAGUGGCAGAUUAGGAAUGUGAAAUAGAUAGUCUGGGUUCAGAGCUGAACUUUUACCAUCCCCGUUAUAUCACCUCUCAGGGGACAGAAAGAAUAGGAAGUGAUUUUGCUUGUCCAAAUGCACUGUCCAAUAUGAUAGUCAUUAACCAUAUAUUGCUAAUCAAUUUAAAUUUAAAACUUAAAAUUCACCUCCUCCCUUACACAGGACAUACUUCAAGCACCCAAUGAACACAUGAAGCUAUUCACAACCAAUCUGGAUAGCACAGUAUAGGACAUGUCCAUCACUGCAGAAUGUUUUAUUGGAUAGCACCCAGCAGUGUUUUAAAACUAAUCACUAAACCAAGAGAGCUUAUGGACAGGAUGUAAGUUAAAGAAGCCUCUAUCUUCUAUAGUCUAAAUUCCUGUAUCACAUAUCUCUCACCAUCCAGAAGCAAAUUGCCACAUUACUGUGGAUCUCUGGGUACCCCAAGGUCCCUCUUGUCAUGAGCUCAUGAAGGUGCCUACAGCCUACACAGAUGCACUACCAGGUCUUUUAUUUGCAUUUUUAUUUUCAAUUAGGCACAGUUCAUCUGCUAUAUUAACUGUGAGCAGCUGUGUCUACGCAGUCGCCAUAAAGAUAAAAGACCUCAUUUUAACUUGAACUCUGGUAAAGGGCCUAUUAAACAGCCAUAAUAUUAAUUCAUAAAAGAAUGUAACAACUUUUUAUUGGAUUAUUCCCCCCCUUGGUAAAUUAACAUUUGCAGACAUUCAAACAGAUGUCUUAAAUACACACCGUUAUUAACAUGAAAAUGUGGUAUUUUUAUAAAUUAAAAUCAGAUUCUGUACUGCUCAGGAGAGAUCCUGACUAAUAACUCUCUUUCAAACAAGAAAACGUGGUCUUACCACCAAACUAAGUAAUCCUGCAGUACACUGGACCAAGGUGGGCAUGUGGGGCUAAAUUUGAAAUAACAUAUAACUUCUUAAUUUUUUUUUUCACAAAGCUCAGUGGUUUAGAGAAAAGAAUCAUUUAAAAGCAGCAUUUGCUCUGCCUCCAAAACUUCCUUCUGAAGGAAGAUAUUCAAUUGCUGUUUGCUAACAUUGAGCCCCGUUUAAAAAAACAAAAAGUUACAAAAUUGGUUUGUGUUUCUAUUUGCUUCAUAUUUAAAAUCUAAUUAAUCUAAUUAGUUGAUUAAGAUGACAGAGGUAGACCACAACUUAGCCUACCUUCAAGAGAGUUGAAAAACUAAGCAUCCAACUGCUCAUGAAAUAUUUAUGAGGAACCAAUCUCUAAUCCAGAAAAGAGGAUAUUGAGGCAAUAAAGAUGUAUUCAACAACAUUUUGCUCAUGGGCUCAAAUUAAUGAUCCUACCUAUAUCCUCAUGUUUAUAAUGAUAUUUCUGAAAUUUUUACUUUUUCCAACCUGCUACUUUCUUGUUUUGAGCUUUCUUCUACAUAUGCCUUAUGUCUUCUUUGUAGUAGUGCAAGAAGAGGAAAGAACACUAGCUGAGAAUUCAGAAAUGCAGCCCUGCCAUUCAGCAAGGAUGUAACAAUUGAGAAGUUCACUUAUGCCAUAUCAAACCUCAGUUUAUUUCUCUCUAGAAUGGGAGAGCUUACCUCACUGCCAUGCCCACCUUAAAGGUAUUUGUUAAAAUCAAUUAAGAUAAUGUAUUAAGAAGAACCCCCUUUGCUAACUGGACAAAAGUAGGUGAUUGUCCUGAAAGCAAAGCGAAGUCUCUGUGGUCCUUAAACAUUGGUAAAUUGAAUGACUUCCCAGUCCUGCCUGACUGGCCAGGAAAUGUGAGGUUACUUUUUUCCUGUGGGCUGGGCUGGGCUUUCUUAUCCUCACAAUCCUUCAAAAAAUGAACCUUUUUUUUUUUCUCUGCUAAUUCUUUCCUGGAUACCAGACUAAGAGCAAACACCCAGGCUGCUCCCUUUUAUUCCACAUUUAGUUAUUUAUAAAGCUAACACUUUUUAAUUCCUUCCCUUCAUUUUCCUACUGGUUGUAAGUAUAGUACGAUUCAACUUAGAGAUCGUUUGAAUCCCUCAGUGCCAGUGCAUAGAGCAGGAUUUUGCAGCAGCCGACACACAGGGGAUCUAUGGCCCUUUGACAUAUUUUAAGAGAUGAAAGAGUUGAAUUUAAAGCCAUUUCACUUUCAACAACUGAAGCACAAAUAAUCGUGUUUUUAACCUGAAGACAAAUCUCAGGUAUUGUGUAUUCAGGGUGCAUCUUGCCGUUUUUCUGACCUCCAGGCAACUAAUCCAUUUUCCCUGUGUCCCUCACAAUGCUACUUCUAUAAAUGUUACUGAAUAAUCUAAUUCUGAGAAAGCACUUUAAACAUAUCAGUGGCUGUCCUGACUUCUCCUCUUCCCAUUUUGUCACACACUUCCUUCUUACUCCCUACCCUCCUCCUGGUUGCUUUUGAAAUAGUUGCUUUCAUUAUAUAACAUUCUAGCAUGGGAAAAAGAUACCACAGGAUACAAAAAGGUUUUUUUUGCAAGUCUAUCAUUAUCCUAUUAUAUUCCAAGAAGUAACAGUGAGAAGAAAACUGUGCUUGAGAAACAUAUUUGAAUUGCUGUCAUUUUUACUUAUUUUCCCUCACAGAAUGCAAGCCAGGCCAGUAUGGAUGGAACUGUGCUCUGGAGUGCCAAUGUGCUCAGGGAGCUACUUGCAACCCUCUCAAUGGGAACUGCACUUGCCCCUCAAGGAGGAUGGGUCCAACCUGCGAGGAAAAUGGUUUGGACCAUCCUCAGUAACCAAAUACCAGCAGAUUAUUGGUUGGCUAAUAGACUUUUGUUGAAGUUCACCCACAGUUUAUCAUCUGAACUUGGCAGAGAGAUGUACUUUCUCAACCAUCUUCUUCCCAGCCUUACUUGUUAUGAGGGGAAAACGGGACAUCUCCAGUUUAUCACUUCCACUCAUUAGUCCAGUCCCUUGCCUAACUUCCCAACUUCCCUUUGCUGAAGAACAUAACCCAAGAAUAAGAGAAUGUUUUUUCAGGAUCCGAACCAUAGUAACAUUUGGACUAAUAAAAGAACCUCUUUUUUAUGUGCACAGGAGGUAUUUAAAUUUGGAAGGAAGAACUGCUUUUCAGUUCAGGUUGGACUGCACUGAAAUAUUCACACCUAUUCAGUGAAGACCUCAGUGGCCAUUAAGGAGCUGGAUCCUCUUUAGAAAUGUCUAGAAUUUCAUCUAUUUAUUCUGGGGAUCCUGCUUCACAGCUAACUCUGCUUCACACUGCUAAUGUAUUGUAUUUCAAACAUGACUCUUGUUGUGGCAGACUCUGAAGAUUCUAGCCACAUAAAGAUCAGGGUAAAAGGAUGACAUACAUAUUUACAGUGAAUCAUCAAAAUGUUUAGUGCUGUUUUUCCUGUCACUGGCCAGGGGGCAGGAAAAAAAAGCAGAUAGAAGUGGUUAAGGCCAGUGCUUAGCCUACUCUGGGGGACAUGAAUUUCCCAUAAAUCAGGACCAGAUUGGAUUUAGACUCUUAAUCCAGAUUGGUAAUCUUGACUCAAAUUGCUCAUCAUUUAGGAUAAUUUUACAGCCACUUGUAAGCAUAAAAUGGGCCCUGGGAAAAGCCCAAGAAAACACAAUGAUAAAUACAAUUUUAUUUUUGCUCUCAAAUAUUUUAUAAACAUUUAGAUUUUCAGACUGCUAGCUAAUUUACAUUAACAAACAAUAACUUUCUUGAUUGGAAAUGUUACUCAGGUUACCUGUUUCUCAUGCUUUUUCAAAAAUAGAAAACAGCAAAAGUACAUGACUUGAUGUUAUUUAUACAAAUGAUGAGAGAGUCUUUUAAAUCAAAACUGAUUCAGGAUAAAUUGAAGGCAGAAUGGAU